UUUUUUAUUUUAUUUUUUGCAAGAGGAAGUCAGUUCUUGGUGUGAAGGUAGAGGAGACCACACGAAGAGGAGAAGAGAGGAGAACGGGAGACAGUCAGAGAAGGAGAAAGAAUUGGGAAGACUGGGGAAACCCUCCUUCCACCCUAAAGAAACAUGGCCUGAGUUAUUUCCAGGGCCUGCAGGUAUGUGGCAGAAAAAGUCAGAACCUCCUGCUGUUGCUUCUGCUGCAACAACGAUAGGGAGAAUUUAGACUCUUCUGCAGAAGGAAAAGGUUACCCUGCAGGCGGAUGACAAAAACGUCGGAAGGCAGAGAUCCCCAAAUGCAGCAGUUCCAUU
rnacentral:lncRNA from 1 species